AUUCAAAUUCUCAAUUUCAUUGUUGGAGGUGAAGACUGAAGCAGAGGCUGGUGGAUAGCUUUGCUGAUCUUCUUCACUACUGGGCGGGUUUCUAAGCUGUUCUUGCUCUUUCUCAUCUAUACAGGAGAGACACAGAGAUGAGAAAUGGCUCUGGAUGUUGUUGCUUCGGUUGGUGAACAAUUGGUGGCCCCAGUUAGCCAAUUUGGAUAUUUCAUUUUCUAUAACAGAAACAUUAAGAAUCUCAACAAACAAGUCCAAAAAUUGGAACACAUGAGAUAGAAUACAAAGGAAUGGGCAAGUUAUUGAACCUAGUGUUGAGCAGUGGUUGACAACGGUGGAUGAAGUUAGCAAAGAGACCGAAAGAUUCCUUCGUGAUGAAGACAAAGGGUGGUGCCCAAAUUUGAAAUCACGAUACUCAUCGAGCAAGGAAGCUAAGAUGAAGAUUGAAGAUGUGGUAGAGCUAUAUGAAGGAUUAGGAGACUUCUCAAGUGCUCCGAUGGGGAUCGCAUCCACAUUUAUAUCCGCCAGAGGUAUUAAGGGUUUUGAAUCUAGAAGAUUGAUUAUGAAUGAAGUCAUGGAGGCACUGACGGAUGAUAGUAUCAAUAUGAUUGGGAUAUGUGGGAUGGGCGGGGUUGGUAAGACAACAUUGGUGAAAGAAGUUGCCAAGAAAGCAUAAGAAAAUAAAUUGUUCAAUGAAGUUGUGUUGGUAGAAGUGCCCCAAGACCCAUCCUUCACUGUUAUUCAAGGUAUGAUAGUUGCGCAGUUGGGUUUUUGAUUCAGUGAGAAAAUUUUACCUGAGAGAGCAAGGGAGCUAAAACAAAGAAUAUUGAGUAAGAGAGUCCUUGUAAUACUAGAUGAUAUUUGGAAGAAACUUGAACUGAAAGACAUUGGAAUUCCUUUUGGAGCUGAUUACAAGAGUUGCAAAAUUGUCAGGUGCUCUAAGUAAUCUAGAAAUUCUCAGCAUUACUGGCUUUUCUAUGAAGGAGCUACCGAAAGAAAUAGGAAACUUUACUCACUUGAGGUUGAUGUAUUUGUUGAAAUGUCAGGUGCAUAGUAUUUCUCCAGGGGUUUUGAAAAGUUUAUCAAGACUAGAGGAGUUAUAUGUUGGGCUGCAUAUUUGUAACCAUACUUCGAUGAAGUUGAUAACCUGCUAGUGUGGCAAUUUGCUAUUAGUAUAUACUUGUUGCUCUGUUUUGUUUUUAAUAAAAGUGUAAUUCUCACUUUAUUUUGCAAUUAAGGUGCUGCUCACAACACCUACUACUCCAACAGAUCAAAUGAAAGCCAUUGUUGAAGCUUCAGAGGGAUUUGUGUAUCUUGUAAGAUCCUUCUUUCCCCAGUAACUAUUGUUGACACCACUUUCA